GACGAACGCUGGCGGCGUGCUUAACACAUGCAAGUCGAACGGAAAGGCCCUGCUUUUGCGGGGUGCUCGAGUGGCGAAGGGGUGAGUAACACGUGAGUAACCCGCCCCUGACUUUGGGAUAACUUUAGGAAACUGGGGCUAAUACCGGAUAGGAUCUCCUGCUGCAUGGGGGGGGUUGGAAAGUUUCGGCGGUUGUGGCUGGACUCGCGGCUUACCAGCUUGUUGGUGGGGUAGGGGCUUACCAAGUCUUUGACGGGUAGCCGGCCUGGGAGGGUGGCCGGCGACCUUGGGACUGCGGUACGGCCCAGACUCCUACGGGCGGCAGCAGUGGGGAAUAUUGCACAAUGGGCGCACGUCUGAUGCAGCGACGCCGCGUGCGGGAUGCCGGCCUUCGGGUUGUAAACCGCUUUCGCCUGUGACGAAGCGUGAGUGACGGUAAUGGGUAAAGAAGCACCGGCUAACUACGUG
rnacentral:rRNA from 1 species